rnacentral:rRNA from 1 species
ACUCAAAUGAAUUGACGGGGCCCCGCACAAGCAGCGGAGCGUGUGGUUUAAUUCGAUGCAACGCGAAGAACCUUACCUGGGCUUGACAUGCACUCGCAAGGCCAUGAAAGUGGUCCCUCUACGGACGGGUGCACAGAUGUUGCAUGGCUGUCGUCAGCUCGUGUCGUGAGAUGUUGGGUUAAGUCCCGCAACGAGCGCAACCCUUGUCUUUAGUUGACUAUCUAGAGAGACUGCCGGAAACAAACCGGAGGAAGGUGGGGAUGAUGUCAAGUCAGCAUGACUCUUACGUCCAGGGCUACACACACGCUACAAUGGCCGUUACAACGAGAAGCCACUCCGCAAGGAGGAGCAGACCUCUAAAAGGCGGCCACAGUUCAGAUUGCACUCUGCAACUCGAGUGCAUGAAGUCGGAGUUGCUAGUAACCGCGUGACAGCAUAGCGCGGUGAAUAUGUUCCCGGGGCUUGUACACACCGCCCGU